rnacentral:lncRNA from 1 species
CUUUGGAUUCUAUAUCAAACCUGUUUUAUUUGGUUUCUUAAUAUCACUGUAUUUACCUUGUGUCAUCUUUGCAGCCCUGCACUGAUGAAUGUGUUCCUCCUCGAGGUUCACCCGUCCCUCAGCCUGGCUGCUGCCGUCUAUCAUGGUUUGAUCCAGGCUCACACUGAGCUCUGUCAGCUGCACCAAGUCACUAAUGUUUCUAACAAACUUAACCUAAGACAGAAGCUCCUGCAGCAGGCCCUCCACACCUGGAACAACCUGGCAUCAGUUGGAGUCUUCUACAGCCCUCAAAUACAGAAAGAUUUGUUCUCAGAUCUGUUUUUCGAGGACCCAAUUUUGGUCCAAAAGGUGGGACAGAGGUCAUCUACAGAGGAGGAGGACAUGAAUCAAGGAAGAGUGGAAAUUUUCUCCAAGCUGCUGGAGCUCGUCACCGUUCGCCAUCGACUGCUGGAGUCGGCUUCAGAGACCGCACAUCUGGCUCAGAUAUACAGAAACGUGGCAUCAGAGCUCGGCUUUGACGAGUUCCACCUUUACUUGAGGCCGGUGCAGUUUGAGGUUGCUGAACAGAAAACCCCAAAAGAGCAGAGUCCUGUUUUUAUCACAGCAAUACUGGAGGAUGACAGCUCUGUGGACAGAUUCACUCCGUCCCACCUGCCUCUGAGCAUCCAGGAGCUGGACGAGAACCACAUCUGGAGGUUUAGCUUCAGCUCGGAGGAAGCUGUUAUUAACCUCAUGAACAAACAGAGUAUUGAGAACCUGCAGGUGACGCUGGCCUGUCAGGUUACACAGAAGAACGCCCUCAUAAGUGCCGUGAAACUGGCCUCUCUCUGCUACUGGGCAGGAAAUAUGAGGACUUCAGCUGAGGUGUGUAUCGCUCAGCAUGGAACGGAAAUAAGCACAGUCAAGAUAUUUACUGGAAUAAACGACUUUAUACUUGUAUUUAAACAUAUUUUAUAG